rnacentral:rRNA from 1 species
AGCAGCCGCGGUAAUUCCAGCUCCAAUAGCGUAUAUUAAAGUUGUUGCAGUUAAAAGCUCGUAGUUGAAUUUCGGGAUCAAUAUGUUGGUCGUGCCUUGGUACGUACUGGCAUUAUCGAUUCCUACCUUCUGAAGAACCUCGAUGUCAUUAAUUUGGUGUCUUGGGGAAUCAGGACUGUUACUUUGAAAAAAUUAGAGUGUUUAAAGCAGGCUCGCGCUUGAAUACAUUAGCAUGGAAUAAUGAAAUAGGACGUUUGAUUCUAUUUUGUUGGUUCUAGGAUCGACGUAAUGAUUAAUAGGGAUAGUUGGGGGCAUUAGUAUUCAAUUGUCAGAGGUGAAAUUCUUGGAUUUAUUGAAGACUAACUACUGCGAAAGCAUUUUGCCAAGGAUGUUUUCAUUAAUCAAGAACGAAAGUUAGGGGAUCGAAGACGAUCAGAUACCGUCGUAGUCUUAACCAUAAACUAUGCCGACUAGGGAUCGGAUGAUGUUAAUUUUUUCAAUGACUCAUUCGGCGCCUUAC